rnacentral:rRNA from 1 species
GUACACCAGGCGAGAAACCUCCGCGAUGCGGGAAACCGUGACGGGGUCACCCCGAGUGCCACCCGAUGAGGGUGGCUUUUCCCCGGUCUAAAAAGCCGGGGGCAAUAAGCGGGGGGCAAGUCUGGUGUCAGCCGCCGCGGUAAUACCAGCCCCGCGAGUGGUCGGGACGUUUAUUGGGCCUAAAGCGUCCGUAGCCGGCUCGGUAAGUCCCUCCUUAAAUCCACGGGCUCAACCCGUGGGCUGGGAGGGAUACUGCCGGGCUAGGGGGCGGGAGAGGCCGAGGGUACUCCCGGGGUAGGGGCGAAAUCCGUUAAUCCCGGGAGGACCACCAGUGGCGAAGGCGCUCGGCUGGAACGCGCCCGACGGUGAGGGACGAAAGCUGGGGGAGCAAAAGGGGAUUAGAUACCCGGGUAGU